rnacentral:rRNA from 1 species
UACGGGAGGCAGCAGUGGGGAAUAUUGCACAAUGGGCGCAAGCCUGAUGCAGCCAUGCCGCGUGUAUGAAGAAGGCCUUCGGGUUGUAAAGUACUUUCAGUCGUGAGGAAGGUGUUAAGGUUAAUAACCUUAGCAAUUGACGUUAGCGACAGAAGAAGCACCGGCUAACUCCGUGCCAGCAGCCGCGGUAAUACGGAGGGUGCGAGCGUUAAUCGGAAUUACUGGGCGUAAAGGGCACGCAGGCGGUUAAUUAAGUUGGAUGUGAAAUCCCCGGGCUUAACCUGGGAAUGGCAUUCAAGACUGGUUAGCUAGAGUCUUGUAGAGGGGGUAGAAUUCCAUGUGUAGCGGUGAAAUGCGUAGAGAUGUGGAGGAUACCGGUGGCGAAGGCGGCCCCUGGACAAAGGACUGACGCUCAUGUGCGAAAGCGUGGGGAGCGAAACAGGGAUUAGAUACC